ACAGCGCUUGUUCAACCCACAGAAAAGGAAAAUGGACCCUGCCCAUCAGCCCUCCAUUUUGAAGGGGUCAGAUGGAGGUGGUAUUUUAAAAGUGGGUCUCUUAUAAAUAAAAGCUCAUCUCUUCCCCUUUGUUAUUUCUCACCAAAGUACUAGCAGAUAAGUAGUGGCUCAUCAGACAACUUCAGGUGCACUGAGCACAGAGUAACUCCUUGAGCCCUGGUGACUGAUGGCACAUUGCCCCCCAUCCCCCGGGGAGAGAUCUGGUUGCACAGGACUCUCCCAUCCUGAUACCCCCAAAACGACGACUGGCAUUUCCAGUGCUGGGUACCAGGCCAUACACAAAGCACUUUCUGUAGAGAAAGCACAGUAAUCCUCACAGCAGCCUUGGAGGUAGAUUUUAUUGUUACGCCCAUUUUACAGAUGAAGAAACAAAAGCUGUGGGCUGAGGAGCUUGCCAAGGGAAACCAUGAAGAAACCAUGAAGCUGGAUUUGAAGACCAGUGGUCUUGCUUCAGUGAGCGCUGUGCUCGGUCAGAUCCUCCUGGGAGUCCAAGCCAGCUCUGCAGGACAGCAGGAAAGGCCAGGGGCACGUGCUGCUUUCCUGGUGCGAAGCUGGGCUCCAGGGGUUCCAACACCAGGGAUACUAACUGGGCUUGCUUAACCCGAGGUUUCCCCACCCGCAGAGCUUCAGGCUGUGCACACAAUUGACUUAUUUUCACUUACAGAGUUACUUAUAUGAAGGAAAUUACCUGAAAAGUUAAACAUACCAAGCUACCCUGCUAAAAAUGUCCCAAAGAUUCAUUUCAGUAAUUGUCACUGCAGAUGGGUCCUUGCUGUCUGUGCUUAGAGCCUUACAGCAAAGUGGCCUUCCACAGUGGGAGAGCCCUGAGGAAGUGCCUGGGGAGAAGCCCAGCACUGUUUUUACCAUUGGAUAACCUCUUGCUUUAUCAUUCCUCUGCCCUGGGCUACUAAUGAUUCAGAAGGGCAUGGAAACAUGGAAUGAGAAAAAUGCCACAAAUGUAAGUACCACAGUCGUUAUUUCUGCUGUUUUGAACAUACCUACCAGUCCCCUCUUGGUUCAGUGUUUUGCCGGUAAGGCAGGAUGUCCACCACGACAGAGGUUCAGCUGCACUUUGCCUGCACUUUGCCAGAAGCUGCUGUGAGCAAGCCACCUCUUGUGUGGCUACCCUUUGACCAGAGCGGCACUUUGAUUGGUCAGAAUACUUGUGGUCUGAAAGGCAGGUUGGUGGUGUGCAUGAGCCUCUCCACUGUUCUCAGUCCAUGCAAGUUUCCGUUUGACUUAAGUAAAUACCUGACAAUGUUCUGUUGCAUCAAUUUUAUUGACAGAAUACUCCAUACCCUCUCUAACUGCAGCAGCAGCAUGCUCAUUUCUCCAUGUUUUAUGUGGGGUGGGAAGGGGAGCAGUGUGUGUGUGUGUG
rnacentral:lncRNA from 1 species